rnacentral:rRNA from 1 species
AUUGAACGCUGGCGGCAGGCUUAACACAUGCAAGUCGAGCGAGCGGCGGACGGGUGAGUAAUGUCUGGGAAACUGCCUGAUGGAGGGGGAUAACUACUGGAAACGGUAGCUAAUACCGCAUACCAUCAGAUGUGCCCAGAUGGGAUUAGCUAGUAGGUGGGGUAAUGGCUCACCUAGGCGACGAUCCCUAGCUGGUCUGAGAGGAUGACCGGCCCCACUGGAACGGGGAACGGGUCCAGACCCGUACGGGGGGCAGCAGUGGGGAAUUUUGCACAAGGGGCGCAAGCCUGAUGAAGCCAUGCCGGGUGUGGGAAGAAGGCCUUCGGGUUGUAAAGCACUUUCAGCGAGGAGGCGUUACUCGCAGAAGAAGCACCGGCUAACUCCGUGCCAGCAGCCGCGUAAUAC